AUUGAACGCUGGCGGCAGGCUUAACACAUGCAAGUCGAGCGGAGAGAGGUAGCUUGCUACUGAUCUUAGCGGCGGACGGGUGAGUAAUGCUUAGGAAUCUGCCUAUUAGUGGGGGACAACAUUUCGAAAGGAAUGCUAAUACCGCAUACGUCCUACGGGAGAAAGCAGGGGAUCUUCGGACCUCGCGCUCAUAGAUGAGCCUAAGUCGGAUUAGCUAGUUGGUGGGGUAAAGGCCUACCAAGGCGACGAUCUGUAGCGGGUCUGAGAGGAUGGUCCGCCACACUGGGACUGAGACACGGCCCAGACUCCUACGGGAGGCAGCAGUGGGGAAUAUUGGACAAUGGGCGCAAGCCUGAUCCAGCCAUGCCGCGUGUGUGAAGAAGGCCUUAUGGUUGUAAAGCACUUUAAGCGAGGAGGAGGCUACUGAAGUUAAUACCUUCAGAUAGUGGACGUUACUCGCAGAAUAAGCACCGGCUAACUCUGUGCCAGCCGCCGCAGUAAAAC
rnacentral:rRNA from 1 species